CCGAGUUCUGCCUCAGCCUCCCAAGUAGCUGGGAUUACAGGUCCAGUCACUCCACGCUUGCAGAGUCCAAUUAACAAGAGCAAGUUCUGGUAGAAAGAAGGUGACUUUAUUCCAGAGCUCAGGUGUUUGAACUGAUGUCUGAUGAGGAUGAAUCCAGCGACUACCUCUGCCUGUCCAUCCUGGGCCUCUUCUGUUGCCUUCCCCUAGCCAUCCCAGCCGUGAUCUUUUCUUGCCUGGUGGGCACCUGCAUCAUGCCAAUCCUUCACCCUCCCUCUCCAUCUUGCCCCUGACCCUGACUCAACUUCUUCCUUGUUCUCCCUUCUGAACUAGGAGCCUGAGCAACACCAGCACCUCCUGUGGGUUCAGACCCCCACCCUGAGUCCUUACAGUUCCACAG
rnacentral:lncRNA from 10 species